rnacentral:rRNA from 1 species
AGCGUUAUCCGGAUUUACUGGGUGUAAAGGGAGCGUAGACGGCACUGCAAGUCUGGAGUGAAAGCCCGGGGCUCAACCCCGGGACUGCUUUGGAAACUGUGGAACUGGAGUGCAGGAGAGGUAAGUAAGGAAUUCCUAGUGUAGCGGUGAAAUGCGUAGAUAUUAGGAGGAACACCAGUGGCGAAGGCGGCUUACUGGACUGUAACUGACGUUGAGGCUCGAAAGCGUGGGGAGC